AAAACCUAUGAAAUUUCGGUUUUUGUUUUCAGUUAGGGUUUGAAAAUGGCUAAAAUUAGGUUCUUGUUUGGGUUUCGGUUACGGUUUUCAGUUUUUUGCGGUUACGGUUAGCACCCCUGCGAAAAAGUCAAAGUCAAAGAAGAAAUGAGCUUUUUCAAAUUAUCGCCAGAUCGCGUACCAUGAGUUGCAACCCCAUCUUACUAUGUACAUACACAUACACAAUAUACCACAUGCCACAUACUACUGUCUUCUUAGCUUACCAUAUGAAUUGAAUGUCGAAUGGUGUGUUCAUUUAGCUCAGCAUCAAGAGUCAUCAUAAAUUCAAGUAAAUUCUAUUAUAAUUGUGUGAUUUUGUUCCUGACAUUCUAGCAGAAUUAUGUGGUCUCGUAAAGUGUGGUCUCGUAGAUAUAGCGAUGAGGUGAAAUCGAAAUGUUCUAAUUGUGGUGCUGCUAAUGAAAGAUCUGGUGGUUUUCAACUCCUGUUCAGAUGUUAAUGGUAGGCGCUAUUGCAUACAAUGUGUAUAUCAUCUUCAAGCGGUGGUCCGAUGGUCGAAAGGAGAUGAUUAAUGCAGAUUCGACUCCACAGCGUAAAAUGUAAAAAAAGACAGUUUUGUAGUAACAUUGAGAUGUACUCAGAGGUGUAUUUAUUUUCAUUGUCGUCUUUUACGUUGUUGUAAGAUUUACAGUAUAAAAUUUUGCGUGACAUAUUAUGUCCAAUUAUUUUAUAUUGCAUAAAGAUUAUCAUCGGA